GACGAACGCUGGCGGCGUGCUUAACACAUGCAAGUCGAACGGAAAGGCCCUGCUUUUGUGGGGUGCUCGAGUGGCGAACGGGUGAGUAACACGUGAGUAACCUGCCCUUGACUUUGGGAUAACUUCAGGAAACUGGGGCUAAUACCGGAUAGGAGCUCCUGCUGCAUGGUGGGGGUUGGAAAGUUUCGGCGGUUGGGGAUGGACUCGCGGCUUAUCAGCUUGUUGGUGGGGUAGUGGCUUACCAAGGCUUUGACGGGUAGCAGGCCUGAGAGGGUGACCGGACACAUGGGGACUGAGAUACGGCCCAGACUCCUACGGGAGGCAGCAGUGGGGAAUAUUGCACAAUGGGCGGAAGCCGGAUGCAGCAACGCCGCGUGCGGGAUGACGGCCUUCGGGUUGUAAACCGCUUUCGCCUGUGACGAAGCGUGAGUGACGGUAAUGGGUAAAGAAGCACCGGCUAACUACGUG
rnacentral:rRNA from 1 species